rnacentral:rRNA from 1 species
AACGCGAAGAACCUUACCCAGGCUCGAAAUGCAGGCGGUGGUAUCAGAGAUGAUACUUUCCGUAAGGACGCCUGUAUAGGUGCUGCAUGGCUGUCGUCAGCUCGUGCCGUGAGGUGUUGGGUUAAGUCCCGCAACGAGCGCAACCCUUAUCAUUAGUUGCCAACACGCAAGGUGGGGACUCUAAUGAGACUGCCUAGGUUAACUAGGAGGAAGGUGAGGAUGACGUCAAGUCCGCAUGGCCUUUAUGUCUGGGGCUACACACGUGCUACAAUGGUCGGUACAGAAGGCAGCAAGACCGUAAGGUGGAGCAAAUCCGUAAAACCGAUCUCAGUUCAGAUUGUAGUCUGCAACUCGACUACAUGAAGCUGGAAUUGCUAGUAAUGACGUGUCAGCAACAACGUCGUGAAUACGUUCCCGGGCCUUGUA